rnacentral:rRNA from 1 species
AGGAUGAACGCUAGCGGCAGGCUUAAUACAUGCAAGUCGAGGGGCAGCAGGUCCCGCAGCAAUGCGGGAUGCUGGCGACCGGCAAACGGGUGCGGAACACGUACGCAACUUUCCUUCAAGUGAGGAAUAGCCCAGGGAAACUUGGAUUAAUACCUCGUAAUAUUAUGAAGUGGCAUCACUUUAUAACUAUAGCUCCGGCGCUUGAAGAUGGGCGUGCGCCUGAUUAGGUAGUUGGCGGGGUAACGGCCACCAAGCCUACGAUCAGUAACUGGUGUGAGAGCACGACCAGUCACACGGGCACUGACGACACGGGCCCGACUCCGUACGGGAGCAGCAAGGUAAGGAAUAGUUGGGCAAAGUGGACGCAAGUCUGACCCAGCCAUCGGCCGCGGUGGAGGA